rnacentral:rRNA from 1 species
GAUUGCGAAGGCAGCUUGCCGGGCCGCAACUGACGCUGAAGCACGAAAGUGUGGUUAUCAAACAGGAUUAGAUACCCUGGUAGUCCACACCGUAAACGAUGAAUACUCGCUGUUUGCGAUACAAUGCAAGCGGCCAAGCGAAAGCAUUAAGUAUUCCACCUGGGGAGUACGCCGGCAACGGUGAAACUCAAAGGAAUUGACGGGGGCCCGCACAAGCGGAGGAACAUGUGGUUUAAUUCGAUGAUACGCGAGGAACCUUACCCGGGCUUGAAUUGCAUCUGACGUGGCCGGAAACGGUCAUUUCUUCGGACAGAUGUGAAGGUGCUGCAUGGUUGUCGUCAGCUCGUGCCGUGAGGUGUCGGCUUAAGUGCCAUAACGAGCGCAACCCUUGUCAUCAGUUACUAGCAGGUUGAGCUGAGGACUCUGAUGAGACUGCCAUCGCAAGAUGUGAGGAAGGGAGGGAUGACGUCAAAUCAGCACGGCCCUUACGUCCGGGGCUACACACGUGUUACAAUGGGAGGUACAGCAGGCAGCUACCCGGCGACGGGAUGCCAAUCCGUAAAGCCUCUCUCAGUUCGGACUGGAGUCUGCAACCCGACUCCACGAAGCUGGAUUCGCUAGUAAUCGCGCAUCAGCCACGGCGCGGUGAAUACGUUCCCGGGCCUUGUACACACCGCCCGUCAAGCCAUGGGAGUCGUUGGUACCUGAAGUGCGUGACCGCAAGGAUCGCCCUAAGGUAAAUUCGAUGACUGGGGCUAAGUCGUAACAAGGUAACC